GACCUGGCACUUGGGCUGGGGCUGCUGAUGGCACUCGCUCGGGGUCUGGAGCAGCUGAGGGCGCUGCUGGCGGCUCCAGCGCUAGAAGUGAUGGCAGAAAUAGAACUGGAGUUCCGUCCAGCU